AGCUAACGCAUUAAGCACUCCGCCUGGGGAGUACGGUCGCAAGACUGAAACUCAAAGGAAUUGACGGGGGCCCGCACAAGCGGUGGAGCAUGUGGUUUAAUUCGAAGCAACGCGAAGAACCUUACCAGGUCUUGACAUCCUCUGACAAUCCUAGAGAUAGGACGUCCCCUUCGGGGGCAGAGUGACAGGUGGUGCAUGGUUGUCGUCAGCUCGUGUCGUGAGAUGUUGGGUUAAGUCCCGCAACGAGCGCAACCCUUGAUCUUAGUUGCCAGCAUUCAGUUGGGCACUCUAAGGUGACUGCCGGUGACAAACCGGAGGAAGGUGGGGAUGACGUCAAAUCAUCAUGCCCCUUAUGACCUGGGCUACACACGUGCUACAAUGGACAGAACAAAGGGCAGCGAAACCGCGAGGUUAAGCCAAUCCCACAAAUCUGUUCUCAGUUCGGAUCGCAGUCUGCAACUCGACUGCGUGAAGCUGGAAUCGCUAGUAAUCGCGGAUCA
rnacentral:rRNA from 1 species